rnacentral:rRNA from 1 species
AUUGAACGCUGGCGGCAUGCUUUACACAUGCAAGUCGAACGGUAACAGGCCUUCGGGUGCUGACGAGUGGCGCACGGGUGAGUAAUGCAUCGGAACGUACCCAGAGGUGGGGGAUAACGCAGCGAAAGCUGUGCUAAUACCGCAUGUGAUCUGAGGAUGAAAGCGGGGGACCGAGCAGCAAUGUUUGGCCUCGCGCCUUUGGAGCGGCCGAUGUCGGAUUAGCUAGUUGGUGGGGUAAAGGCCUACCAAGGCGACGAUCCGUAGCUGGUCUGAGAGGACGACCAGCCACACUGGGACUGGGAAACGGCCCAGCCUCCUACGGGAGGCAGCAGUGGGGAAUUUUGGACAAUGGGCGCAAGCCUGAUCCAGCAAUGCCGCGUGCGGGAAGAAGGCCUUCGGGUUGUAAACCGCUUUUGGCAGGAACGAAACGGUGUCCGCUAAUACCGGGCGCUAAUGACGGUACCUGCAGAAUAAGCACCGGCUAACUACGU